AAGAGGCAAUCUCUUAAUUUUUCAGAUUCAGUGUGUUUGGUAGCCUCUGAAUAAAAGUCUCUUAAUUUAUUAAAAACCUCUUAAUUUUUCAGACAGGAAACCAUGUUUGAAUUGAAAAAAGAAACGCGUAUUCCUCUAUACCCCUAAUAACAUACAGUGACCAUCUUCUUCACCUCUUUCUACUCCAUCAACACCACCGCCCCCUGCUCCCUCCCGCUCCAUCUCCGAUCUGCAACCCUCCGUCGGCCUCCCACCACUAAUGCGCCAUCCCCGCCAGCGACACCAACGUCGACAUCCCUAACAACGACUCCGAAACCACAGUCCCUUUUCCCUCUUACCGGUUCAUAAAUAGAAGCCCUAAAAGUCGAUUUUUAGAGCUGGGGAUUUUUUUUUUUUCUGGAGUUGUGUUCUUCCUUCGAUUUUUUCCAGAUUUUUGGUUGAUUGAUCGAGUUUGGAGGGUUGUUUUUUGGGUUUUACAAGGGGGUGCAAAGUGCAGGUUGAGCGUUGGCUUGGAAGAAGCGUGCUUAUGUUAAACCUGCUGAUAGCAACUACAAUCAUGACAAGACUUCGGAGUUUGUUAUUAAGAUAUUACAGUUUAUUGUGCCUCUUGUGAUCUUGGGUUUGGCUUUUGUGGUCAGAUCUUACACCAAAGAGAAGUCUGCUUGAAAGAGAAAGAGAGAGCUGCUUGCUUCCUUUUCAUUAUUUGAGGUUUAGAUGGUGUGUUGUGUUGGUAGUUAUGGAGAAUAUUUAUGUCUAUUAAAAAACAUGGUGACUUUGGUUAUUUGUUAGAUGAAUAUGUCAUGAGGACAGGUUUUUUGUUAGUAUUUUAUUGUCCAAGAAUUGCUUAUGUGACACAAUUUCAACAUCA